AAAAAACAGAAGGUUUUCUGGAAUGCAGAAAUGUGGUCCCGAAUGCACUCGUCGGUGCAGCGGAUGGGUGGGGGGCGCGGAUGGCGGCCUCGGCCAGGCUGGCCCCAUCCCCCGCCAGGCAAUGUCAUUAUCGCGGCUCCGCUUUGUUCUCUGCGGUACCAGCGGCGGCCGCGGGCAGGCUUAUCGGUCGCCAUGGAAACUGCCGCCUGGCGUGGGAGGGGCGGGAGCCGGUGGAAGCGGCGGAGAGGGAGCCUCCGAGGCUGGAAUUUUCCAGGCUCCGGAGUGCCCAAGACGAGGAUGAUGACAGCUCCCAUGGAAUUUACUUAAAGAGUUAUUCAGAGAGUAAAUAUUCCUUCUUGUCUGGCCUAGUGCAUCUGUAUUUGAAUAAUGUAUCAUCUGAGUCAACACGGCCUUCUGUGCUCUGCGCCGAGCCUCUGCCGCGUUGCAUAGCUCAAGCAGUCCCUAGAAGGCGCAGAGUUUCCUGUGUGGCUCGAAUUUGUGGCUGUUGUAUCUCUGUUGCACAGAGCCCUUCAAGAGUACAUGCAAGUGAAUGAACGAAGGAGAGAUAACUGGUCAGAACUGGAAUCGCCGUGUCCUCUGUUCUGUCCCGCUUUCUUUCUCAAGCAAUUUAUCGCUUCAGUAGCUAAUGAGACGAUGGAAAUUCUGUGAUAAUCACUUCAUGAUGUCUGUGAGUCAAACCGUGACACUGUAUGCCUUACACCUACAUGCUGGAUGUCAGAGAUAUCUCCGUGAAACUGGAAGAAAAAAAAUAAGAGUCCUCCGUGGCGUAAGUGGGGACACGGCCUAGAGAGAAGACUCCUUUCGUUGUCCACAAAGACGUGGGUUUUGACAUCUGUGGAGGUGGAAUUCUGUCCAGUCACACGUAUGGUGUGGAACACAGGGGAAUUCAAGAGCGAGGUCUGGGCUGGGAUGGAGACGUGGGGGCUGAGCAGAGCCGGGGAGAGGAUGAUAUGGUGUGGGGAGAGGAGAGAGAGGGGGAAUAAAAUAAACAUUCAUUAAAAUGUUUUAAAUGAAAAAAAAAAAAACUUAUUAGUAAUCACCUCCUUUAACACGUGAAUUUUGGGGGAUGCAACUCCAUCUAUAACGGAAGGUCUGGGGUGGGGGCCUGAGAUCCUGUGCUUCUGCAGAGGCCCCCAGGGGAUGCCCGUGCUGGGUCUGUGGACCACAGCAAGCAGUGAGGCUCAUAGAGGUGAGCUAGGCGGGAUCGCUCAGUCACUCAGUCGAGUCCGACUCCUGGCGACCCUGUGGACAGUGCCCACCAGGCUCCUCUGUCCAUGGGAUUUCCCAAGCAAGAACACUGGAGUGGGUUGCU
ensembl:lncRNA